rnacentral:rRNA from 3 species
AAUCCAUAGGUUAAUGAGGCGAACCGGGGGAACUGAAACAUCUAAGUACCCCGAGGAAAAGAAAUCAACCGAGAUUCCCCCAGUAGCGGCGAGCGAACGGGGAGGAGCCCAGAGCCUGAAUCAGCAUGUGUGUUAGUGGAAGCGUCUGGAAAGGCGCGCGAUACAGGGUGACAGCCCCGUACACAAAAGCGCAUGUGCUGUGAGCUCGAUGAGUAGGGCGGGACACGUGGUAUCCUGUCUGAAUAUGGGGGGACCAUCCUCCAAGGCUAAAUACUCCUGACUGACCGAUAGUGAACCAGUACCGUGAGGGAAAGGCGAAAAGAACCCCGGCGAGGGGAGUGAAAAAGAACCUGAAACCGUGUACGUACAAGCAGUGGGAGCACCCUUUGGGUGUGACUGCGUACCUUUUGUAUAAUGGGUCAGCGACUUAUAUUCUGUAGCAA